rnacentral:rRNA from 1 species
CAGCCGCGGUAAUUCCGCUCCAAUAGCGUAUAUUAAAGUUGUUGCAGUUAAAAAGCUCGUAGUUGAAUUUCGGGAUCAAGGGAUCGGUCAUGCCUUGGUAUGUACUGGUUUCAUUGGUUCUCACCUUCUAAAGAACCAUGAUGUCAUUCAUUUGAUGUUAUGGGGAAUUAGGACUGUUACCUUGAAAAAAUUAGAGUGUUUAAAGCAAGCUUACGCUUGAAUACAUUAGCAUGGAAUAAUGAAAUAGGACAUCAGAUUCUAUUUUGUUGGUUUCUAGGAUCGAUGUAAUGAUUAAUAGGGAUAGUUGGGGGCAUUAGUAUUCAAUUGUCAGAGGUGAAAUUCUUGGAUUUAUUGAAGACUAACUACUGCGAAAGCAUUUGCCAAGGAUGUUUUCAUUAAUCAAGAACGAAAGUUAGGGGAUCGAAGACGAUCAGAUACCGUCGUAGUCUUAACCAUAAACUAUGCCGACUAGGGAUCGGAUGAUGUUAAUUUUUUAAUGACUCAUUCGGCACCUUACG